CACGUAGGGAGCAAGCGUUGUCCGGAUUUAUUGGGCGUAAAGAGCUCGUAGGCGGUUCCGUAAGUCAGGUGUGAAACCUCCAGGCUCAACCUGGAGACGCCACCUGAUACUGCGGUGACUGGAGUCCGGUAGGGGAGCGUGGAAUUCCUGGUGUAGCGGUGAAAUGCGCAGAUAUCAGGAGGAACACCGGUGGCGAAGGCGGAUCUCUGGGCCUUACCUGACGCUGAGGCGCGAAAGCUAGGGGAGCGAACAGG
rnacentral:rRNA from 1 species